AACGCGAAGAACCUUACCUAGACUUGACAUCCCCUGCAUAACCCAGAGAUGGGCGAAGUCCUUCGGGACAGGGUGACAGGUGGUGCAUGGUUGUCGUCAGCUCGUGUCGUGAGAUGUUGGGUUAAGUCCCGCAACGAGCGCAACCCUUAUCAUUAGUUGCUACCAUUAAGUUGAGCACUCUAGUGAGACUGCCCGGGUUAACCGGGAGGAAGGUGGGGAUGACGUCAAAUCAUCAUGCCCCUUAUGUCUAGGGCUACACACGUGCUACAAUGGUGAGUACAAAGAGAUGCAAGACCGCAAGGUGGAGCCAAACUCAAAAACUCAUCCCAGUUCGGAUUGUAGGCUGCAACUCGCCUACAUGAAGCCGGAGUUGCUAGUAAUCGCGAAUCAGCAUGUCGCGGUGAAUACGUUCCCGGGCCUUGUA
rnacentral:rRNA from 1 species